UACGUAGGGUGCGAGCGUUAAUCGGAAUUACUGGGCGUAAAGCGUGCGUAGGCGGCUGCGCAAGUCGGUUGUGAAACCCCGGGGCUCAACCCUGGAACUGCAUCCGAUACUGCGUGGCUAGAGGUAGGUAGGGGAGAUCGGAAUUCCUGGUGUAGCGGUGAAAUGCGCAGAUAUCAGGAGGAACACCGGUGGCGAAGGCGGAUCUCUGGGCCUUACCUGACGCUCAGGCACGAAAGCUAGGGGAGCGAACAGG
rnacentral:rRNA from 1 species